GACGAACGCUGGCGGCGCGCCUAACACAUGCAAGUCGAACGAGCGAGAGAGAGCUUACUUUCUCAAGCGAGUGGCGAACGGGUGAGUAACGCGUGAGGAACCUGCCUCAAAGAGGGGGACAACAGUUGGAAACGACUGCUACACGUCCGACAAUACGACCAGAGGUCGACACUACCGACGAGGAAAGGGAAAGGACGACUAACGUCCGUUGUUAGGAGUAGUCGUCCGUCGUCCGUACGUAGUACGUCGUUGGGUUGGUAGGUAACGGUAACGGCCCACCAAGGCGACGAUCGGUAGCCGGACUGAGAGGUUGAACGGCCACAUUGGGACUGAGACACGGCCCAG
rnacentral:rRNA from 1 species